rnacentral:lncRNA from 1 species
GUCGCCGGAAAAUUGCACGGCGACGAGGUCUUUCUUCCCGGAAGUAGCUGGAAUGACGCACAGCUAUAAUAUUCUCACUGAAGCUCUGAUACCAUGUGAGAAAGCACGGGAGAAAAAUAUAUAUUGAUAUUAAAACAUGAUAUAAUGAGCCCUAUAUAUAAUACACAUAACCUAACCUACUCCUAAUACACUUUGGAUUAGAGUUUUACUAUAUUUACACUUCUAACAGUCGCCAUCCAAAGUAAGUGGCGUAUUGCCACAAUAAGUUA